AUGCACAGAACUGUACAGAGAGUAUAAAGCGCUCAAGCAAGCGAGAGAGCAUCAAGGCUUCCCCGAAUCCAGCUCAGUUUGCCAGCAGGCUGCUAAAGAAACCCCAGCAGUGGAACAGGUGCCUGACUCAGGUUGCUGGGGUGCACAUCUGAAUCGAGGGCAGACCGUCCCCAAACUGAGCCACCAGGACCGUGACAACCUAAAGGCGUCUGCGCAGUAUUUUGGAAUGAAGCUGAAAGCCAACCUGGGAGCGGCCAUAAAGGAGCGUCCUAUAACUUUGAGGAAGUCCUUGACUCCCCGAGGGAAGCCAGCUGUGCCCCUGUUGGAGAAAAGCUCUGACAACAGCAACCAGGGUGCGUCUCCAAAGCCCCCGCAGAUGCCAUCGCUGAAAAGCAGCAAAGACUGCGUUACUAACGCUGAUCCUAAUGAGUCUGGAGACCUCCUCCUCCCGCCAUCGAUAUCGAGGCUGGUCCCCACCAUCCUCUCUGCAAGGCUGAAGCCAAGCCCUGAGGUGAAUAAAUUCCAGCAGUUGAAGCAGACCGUGGCCCAGAGACUGGGCUCCCUGGAUCCUGGCUGGCUGGACAGGUGUCAGGGCAUCAGGGAGAAAG
rnacentral:lncRNA from 1 species